rfam:Triticum aestivum genome assembly, contig: Triticum_aestivum_CS42_TGACv1_scaffold_434220_5DL
AAUAUACUCCCUCCAUCCGAAAAUACUUGUCAUCAAAAUGGAUAGAAAGAGAUGUAUCUAGAACUAAAAUACAUCUACAUACACCCCCUUUAUCGAUUUUGAUGACAAGUAUUUCCGGACGAAGGGAGUACAAA